GAGGACCAGCACACAUACUAAAAUGGAACAAUAUAGAGAAGAUUAGCAUGGCUCCUGUGCAAGGAAGACAUGCAAAUUUGUGAGACCAGGAGAACCUAU
rnacentral:snRNA from 1 species